UGUGGUCCUUCACAGAAUUCACCAAGUGUUGGAUUGUUCACCCACUAAUAGGGAACGUGAGCUGGGUUAGACCGUCGUGAGACAGGUU
rfam:Podiceps cristatus contig64788, whole genome shotgun sequence.